GACGAACGCUGGCGGCGUGCUUAACACAUGCAAGUCGAACGGAAAGGCCCCUUCGGGGGUACUCGAGUGGCGAACGGGUGAGUAACACGUGAAUAACCUGCCCUUGACUUCGGGAUAACUUCAGGAAACUGGGGCUAAUACCGGAUAGGAAUCCUUGCUGCAUGGUGGGGGUUGGAAAGCUUCGGCGGUUUUGGAUGGACUCGCGGCUUAUCAGCUUGUUGGUGGGGUAGUGGCUUACCAAGGCUUUGACGGGUAGCCGGCCUGAGAGGGCGACCGGCCACAUUGGGACUGAGAUACGGCCCAGACUCCUACGGGAGGCAGCAGUGGGGAAUAUUGCACAAUGGGCGGAAGCCUGAUGCAGCAACGCCGCGUGCGGGAUGACGGCCUUCGGGUUGUAAACCGCUUUCAGCAGGGGCGAAGCUUGUGGUGACGGUACCUGCAGAAGAAGCACCGGCUAACUACGUG
rnacentral:rRNA from 1 species